rnacentral:rRNA from 1 species
GAAUUCACUAGUGAUUAGAGUUUGAUCAUGGCUCAGGAUGAACGCUGGCGGCGUGCCUAACACAUGCAAGUCGAACGGGGUCAUUAAGGAAAAAUCCUUCGGGAUUCGGAAUUCUUGACCUAGUGGCGGACGGGUGAGUAACGCGUGAGCAAUCUGCCUUUGGAUGGGGGAUAACAGCCGGAAACGACUGCUAAUACCGCAUAAUGCAGCGGGACCGCAUGAUUUUGCUGCCAAAGAUUUAUCGUCCAAAGAUGAGCUCGCGUCUGAUUAGCCAGUUGGCGGGGUAACGGCCCACCAAAGCGACGAUCAGUAGCCGGACUGAGAGGUUGAACGGCCACAUUGGGACUGAGACACGGCCCAGACUCCUACGGGAGGCAGCAGUGGGGAAUAUUGCGCAAUGGGGGAAACCCUGACGCAGCAACGCCGCGUGAGUGAAGAAGGCCUUCGGGUUGUAAAGCUCUUUAAUCAGGGACGAAGAAUGACGGUACCUGAAGAAUAAGCUCCGGCUAACUACGUGCCAGCAGCCGCGGUAAUACGUAGGGAGCAAGCGUUAUCCGGAUUUACUGGGUGUAAAGGGCGUGUAGGCGGGCCUGCAAGUCAGAAGUGAAAUCUGGGGGCUUAACCCCCAAACUGCUUUAAUCGAAUUCCCGCGGCC